UGGAGCUGCAAGAGCCUUUGGCCCCAUGGAGGGACUGCUGGCUGCCGGCUUCUUCACUUCAGCUCCUUCUGGAGAUGACCAAGUCUGUGGUGGUGCCUGAAGAUUUAAGCAAGGCCCAGGUCAUGCUGGGUUUCAUGGGGAGAUGAUGGUAUUGCGUUGUUUGUUUUCAUAAUAAGCAAGCAGGAUGUGAAGAGGGGAAAUGAAGUCAUCAAAAGGUUUUUGUUCUUCCCAAAUUGAAGAAUAACAAAAUCCGUGAAAAUUACGAAUUGAUUUAAAAAGUCUAAAAAAACCUGAAGUCACCCCAGGUCUUCAAAACCUUAGAAACACUGAAUUUGGCAGCAAACUAUAAGAAUUUGUUGGCUUAUUUCUUUUCUUUCUCUUUCUCUUUCCUUCCUUCCUUCCUUCUUUCCUUCCUUCCUUCCUUCUUUCCUUCCUUCCUUCCUUCUUUUCUUCCUUUCUUCCUUCGUUUCUUCCCUCCUUGCUUUUUCUUUUCUUUUAUUUUCUUCCUAAAGAUAGAGCUACUCAAAAAAUAACUAGAAAGAGAGAAACCCACUGAUUGGAUUCAAGGUGUGUUUAUGGGUCAAUGUGUGUUUAAGGCUGAUAUUCAAAAAGCAACAUAGUCACUAGAAAAUAGCAAAAGUUCUAUCCUACAGGUUCAUCAGGACAAAGACAAAAAUUCCUUAAAAUUAUCUCAAAAGAGUGAAGAAUAUCAGAAAAUGUUAACAGACUGGAUAAAAAUGUAGAUAUUCAGGAAAGUCUAAAACCAUUCAUAAUAAGCUCAAAAAUUAAAAGAAGAAAUAAACAAUCUCAAUGAACCUAGUAAAGCCACAUCCACAAGCAUAGGCCAAGUCACACAUGACAGAGAAUGACAGAUCUGAUCCCUGUCUACAGCCAGGGAAGUCUGACACCCUCGCCUGGCCCCCUUCUUGAUAGUAACACUGUGGGGGGCAGAGAGGGGUGACUUGGACUAGGAUACGUAAAGUGAAUCCGGAAAAGAGACAACCUGGAUGAUCAAGCAGGAACUGAUUUAAAGGAAUUGAUGUCUGCUGCUAAGGCACCCCUCCCGGCAGUGGAGUGUCCUGGCAGAGCUUCCUGGUGGUAACGAGAGGACCAGCCAUCAGAAAUAGUGUUUUCGUUAGGUUAUUGUUCUGUAUUUCUAUUCAGGG
rnacentral:lncRNA from 1 species